UAUGAUCCUUUUAAUGUGCUGUUGGAUUCUGUUUGCUAGUAUUUUGUUGAGGAUUUUUGCAUCUAUGUUCAUCAGUGAUAUUGGCCUGUAGUUUUCUUUCUUUGUGACAUCCUUGCCUGGUUUUGGUAUCAGGGUGAUGGUGGCCUCGUAGAAUGAGUUUGGGAGUGUUCCUCCCUCUGCUAUAUUUUGGAAGAGUUUGAGAAGGAUAGGUGUUAGCUCUUCUCUGAAUGUUUCAUAGAAUUUGCCUGUGAAGCCAUCUGGUCUUGGGCUUUUGUUUGUUGGAAGAUUUUUAAUCACAGUCUCAAUUUCAGUGCUUGCGAUGGGUCUGUUUAUAUUUUCUAUUCCUUCCUGGUUCAGUCUCGGAAGGUUUAAAUCGCCCUUUAACAGUCUUGUGGUUUUAUUUUAUAGGUUUGGGAAAGGGGUGAGUUGGGAGGCCUGAGGCAGCCAGGUUUUUGUUUGUGUGUUUGCUGUAUAUGCCAGAAGUUCUCUUACUGUCUUGUCUCCCCACCACCCAGGAGCAGUUGCUGAGGGAUUACAGUGUCUGUGGGGUGGCUCAGCAUAACCUUUAUUCUAAGAAAUGCACAUCUUGCUCCGUAUCCACACCCUCCCCCACCCCGCAUCAGAUUCUCUUGGGACAUAGAGCUGAGCAGUUUCAGAGCCUAUCCUUGAAGAGCUGAGAGUGUGCUGAUGGAGUGAGACAAGAGUGGGACAGUGGAACAGAGCACUAUGGACAUGGUCCUGGAGGAGCAUGCAGCCAAUGGCCUGUGAGCCAGGAAAGGCACAGGGAGGGGAGCUGCUGCCUGAGCGAUGUCUUGAAGAACAUGUGGGAGGUGGCAGGGACUGUGGCGUGGGGAACUGAUCAGUCCGGGUCCUGGCAAGAAACAGAUAAUUUGAGUCAUCUGAGGAGAGUUUAAUAAGGGACUGUUUACAAAGAUGAGGGCAGAGUGCAGGGAAACCCCAGAGGAUACUACAGUACCUGUGGGAGCUCUCAGCACCCCAAGGCUUGAGGGGGCAGGGCAGUGAGAGGUCAUCAGAAGCCAGAGAGAGAAAGAACUGUGUGCCACCUGGCAGGAACUCUCAUGACAGUAAAGAAGGCUGCUGAUGCAGUACACACAGGCCAGCCUCCCUGGGCACCCAGCACGGCAGAGAGCAGAUCUGGAGGAAGGAACAAAGAAAGCUCUGCAUCACAGAGACAGGAGACGGAAGAACAUUCCUUGCAAGGGAAACUGCACACAGAAAGGCAAGGAGUGACAAAACAGCAGUUUGCCUGGGCACAGGGACAUGGGACAUGCUGAGGGCCUGGCAGGAGAUGGGAACAGAGUGAGGUCAGGGCCUGCUGGGGAGUGGAUUUCACCUUUGGGGGCUCAGGGUACUGAUGGGGGUCUGAGCAGGGGAAUGAUGUAGUUGGUAAUAAUGCUGGUGUGAAGGGUAUCUUGGAGGAGGACAGGAGCAGGAGAAGGGAGGCCAAUAAAGAGGUUACUGCAAUAUGGAAUGUCUGGGGGAAGAGGAAGAAUCUGGACCCAGGGCUUGCCAGUCAGAAGAGCUGGACUCAAAUCCCUGCUCUGCUGCUUACAACUGUGAGACACUGGGUGAGUCUUUUAAUCCUCAAGUUAUAGUUUUGCCAUCUGCAAACACGGGAGCUGUCACGAGAAACAGCGUUUGGGUAAACCAGGUGCCAAGCACAGGGCAGGGUGACUGACACACCCUGGAGUUAUGCAGUGCACAGACUGCGCAGCCAGACUGGUCAACCUGAGUCCAGGCAAGAAGAGCUGAAGGCCUAAUUAAGGCACCGGCAGUGAUCACAGGUAGCACAUAGAUUCGAGAGUCUUCUCUCUGGAUGUGAGAAUAAGGAAGGGGAAGACUCCGAGUUGUGUAACUUGGGUGACUUGGUGAGUUGGCUAAACAUUAACUAGGUCAAGGGGCACAGAAACAGGAAAAAGUUGAGGAGACAGGGAAGGAAGAAGAGGAAUGUGGUUCUAAACAUGUCAAGUCUCAGGAGCCACCAAAGCACUCAGGUGGACUUGCCUAUGAGACAACUGGAAACAAGGGAUCGAGGAGAGAGGCAAGACUUAUGAGUCAUCAGGACUGAGAGGGUGGCUGAAGCCAUGGGAAAUAUGAGAUACCCUGAGAAGAAGUAGAACGAGAAGAGAAGGGGUCACUGAGAGAAUCCCAUUAACAGUAUCCAUUUAAAUGGAGCACCUAACAGGGAGAGUCAGCCGGAAAAAAAAAAAAAAUAGAGCAGGAAAAGACCAGGAGAGCAGAGGAGGAACAAGAGAAAACCACCAUGGAAGCUGAGGGAGGAGAGAGACUCCAUGGUCCAUAGCACUAAGUGCUUCAGAGAGAAUGAACGGGAUGAGGCCAGACAGUGAGCCAGAGACUUAGUAACUAAGGCAUCCCUGGUGAACUCAGCGACGGCAGCCUCCAUAGGGAGCACAGGAAGCCCAAUUAUAAUGAGCUGAAAAACGAGUGGGGGGUUUUGGAAAUAUAUACAGCAAAUGCAAUCAUUCCAAAAGCCUAGCACUGAAAGAGCAAGAUACCAUGGUAGGCUGCGGGAGGAUAAUUUCUUUUUAGGAUGGUGAAACCUGAGCCUAUUUAUAGGCUAAAAAAGGAACAAAACAGAGAGAGCCUCCAGGUUGAGGGGAAAUACAGAGAAAAUGAUGGCUCAAGAAACAGAGACAGCAGAAGACCGGGUCCAACUGGAGAAGCUCACCUCGGAAAAGAGGCAGCAGUGCUUCCUCUGGGUUGACAGGGCACUGACUGUGAACCUGCUGCACAGGGGUCCGUCGACCCCCGGUCUGGCUCCGUCCCCCCCUUCCUAGAGAGCACUACGGUGGCCCUUCUGAAGUAGCUAAGCCUUUCCCUGGCAGAGAGUUGAGCCUGAUGUGCAAGUAGGAGGAACGAGACCGGCUGAGGCAAGAGGUCAGUGUAACUGAUCUCUGAUUAAAAGCAGAGGCUGUUUUACCUGCAACAGACCUGCAUUUUAUCGUCCCUUACUUACUUCCCUUUCCUCAGGGUGAGGAUGACUCCCAGAAAGAGACAUGGAUCAAAAGGAAAGCAUGUGCAAUCAGAAAUAUUUUGCUGCAGUCUUCUUAGGAGAUAUGUAUGAAUUCAUCCUGACUCUGACGGCCUGAAGGACGAGGCUCAUUGUUUUGGGAGUAGGGAUUGGUAGAUCUGACCACUGGCCUGCUGCUGGCAGGGCCACUCCAACUUUGGAAGGAAACGCACCAGCAAUACCUCACCACCUCCAGCCGUCAAAUACCAUCUUCAACAACUGAUUAUGUGCCAAUACGAGACGAUGAGGGAAAACGAGCCCAUGUGCAGAUCACGACCAUCAGGGUUUGCCCUCCUGAGGCUCUUCCCCUCCAGAAAACCUUUUAGUGGGGCCAUUAUUAAAAACAAGAUGAACACA